rnacentral:rRNA from 1 species
CGCGUAGGCGGCCAGGCAAGUCAGUAGCGGAAGUCCAAUUUUCAAGGUUGGAAGUGCUAUUGAAACUGCAGGGCUUGAGUGCAGGAGAGGUUAUCGGAAUUCCCGGUGUAGCGGUGAAAUGCGUAGAGAUCGGGAGGAACACCAGUGGCGAAGGCGGGUAACUGGACUGCAACUGACGCUGAGGCGCGAAAGUGUGGGGAGCAAACA